CUGAGUUCAUGAAUCUGCUUUCUGUGCUGUGGCUGAUGAUAUCAUAAAUGCUCAGAGCUGUGCUGGGAGCAAUAUCGUGAAACCAGUUCACCUUCAUUAGCCCACCAGGAAUCCAGGAAGCAGAGGGGAUAGGAAACAAGAAGCAAUGAAUAUGGUGGGAUUUACUCCUAAGUAAAAGACUUGCUGCCUCAGAACUAAAAUGUCAAUAGGAUCUUUACUUUUUGUUUCUCCUUCCACUGCUGCUCUCAUUGCUCAUAACAUCAUUUUAUUAUCAAAGAAUGGUAGAGAAAAGUGGAGCAAAGCUAAUAGUCUUUCUCUUGUAGUCUCUCUGGAUGUAGUCUUUUCAUAAGUGUCUUGAACUUGACCUCUUUUGAACGACACAAAGGUCCAACACACAUUUUAAAAAGUUAUAUUUAAAUUUUAAUGUUUUUUUUAAUUCUGCAAAGCUAUUUAAUAACACACUCUCAAAACACAGAGCAUAAAUCUUUCAGGAUGGUCAUAGAAUAAAAACUGAUGGACAAAGCAAAGAAGCUUAGCAAAUGCCCUGAAGCAGCUUUCUUUCUUUUACAUAGAUACCUACUACAGAUGAAUGUUCACAUGAUUUUUAAAAAGCUUUAUUAUGAUUUAAUCACCAUGGUGCUGAUACUAAAAAUAUAAUUUAGUAAAGAAUGGAGUUUGCUUUUUUAAUACCCCACCCCUCAUUAUAAAAAUGUUCUUUGUUGUGAGGCAAUGGGGGCAUUAGAAAGAUUUACAGUAACAAUAUAAGUGACUAUAAUGAACUUGGGAACAAGGGAGUAUUGUUAUGAUAGAGAUCUUCUAGCAUUUCUAUCAGCACAAAUAUUGAGGGACACAGUCUCCUUUCUGUGUAUCUGUAUAUUAAUAUUAACAUGAGCAGUAAUUACAGGUACUUGGGAUAAAGUUUAUUUAUGAGAACAUAAUACUUAAAGGUAAGAGCUGUAAAAAUUAAAGAUAUCUACUCGUAACAAAACCAUUAUCAACCAUAGUUUUUCUGCAAUAUUUCAAUUAUGUUUAUUCAGAAUAUCUCAGCAUCUUUAUAUUCUACUAAUAUUAUUAAUAUUAAUUUUGCAAACUUUAUUUCAACUCCUAAUAUAACUCAGCUUGGGGACUUGUCCUUAUUUAUUGAAGGACAGAACUGGCCACAUCAUCAUUUGUGUAACUAAAAAGCCCUCAAAUCCUACUGGUAUAGCAUUGAUCUUUUGCAAGUCUUAUUAAAUGAAAAAUUGGUAACCUACAUUGACGGUUUUGUUUCCUACCUUCCAAGUUUUACCUUAAAUUUUUUACAUCUUACUGUUUAUCUUUUUAAGUUGAAGAGCCUGUUCCUACAUGUCAGUGAUUCAGCGCAACCAAAAUCAUCACCAAGCUUUGAUCAAAGAAGAGAUAAGCAAGGAUAGUAUUCAGAUAAUAUUUUUACAACACUACAUCAGAAUUUUCCAGUUAAUACUCCAAGUUCAAAUAGCCUCAGAAAAUACUAUAAGAUAAAAUGGGUUUUGUUCUGUUUGUCUACAGACUGCCCCAUUCUCACCUGUUAAUUGUUUCAGACAAGCAAAUGAUGGAAGCAACUGUGAUAGAAUUUGACCAGUUUUUAAGAGUUGUCAUGGUACACGUGACCAGGACUUCUUUAGUCGUCUCCAUAUGCUGUUCUGCAAAGCCUUAAACUUGUUUAGGUUGAGAAACAUUGGUCUAAGGAGGUGGAGCAUUGCUGAGAAGACUUGAAUAUAUAAUCUCUGUCAGUGAUAUUUCUUCAGGCUUGGAAUUCUCAACAAGUCCUCCCUAAUUGAUAUCAUUGGACAUACAGAUUCAACUUGGAUGAAUUAUUAAGUUAUUUUAACUUUAAUAUAUGCAAACAGGACAUCAUGCUAGAAAAAACAAUUGUUCUCAUGUUGGAUUUUUCUAAAUAUUAAAAAGAAUCAGGGAAUAAUUUUAUAUCAAAAUAUUUAUCAUGAAGGGACAAGUUAUUGAUACAAAAAUAAUCUAUGAGAAUUUAUUUGUUAUAACACAUUAUUCAUGGGAAAUGCUGUUUAUGAGCCAUUGUUUUCCUGGUUUUAAAGAUUCAUAGGCAGCCUGUAAAUCUAUUAAUGGUUGGUAAAUCGUAGCUUCUAUGAGAGUGGUCUAGUGGCCUAGUAGUGAAGAUCCUUGCCUCCCACUUAGAAGGUUGAGAGUUCAAUCCUGGAUAGUGGCAGAGGUCUCUUUCCUAGGGUGGAAAGAAAAAUAUCUGCUCCAUAUUCUGAAUAGGCUUUUAUAAGAUUGUGAUAAAUCACCAUACUGUUCUAGAUGUAUCUUACUUUACAAGAGAUUUAAAAGAGUCCCUUAUUAUGGUUGUAAAAGCAUGUUUUUUUUUAACCUAAAACAUAAUAAUGAAAGCUAUUUGUAUGUGUGCAAUUGUUUUGAGAAUAGGUUAUCACACAGAAUAUGUGCGUAGCAGCAAAAUUCUUAUCUUAAUAUCAGAACAAUGUAUUUUUAAUUCUACAAAGUCUGAGAGGAAAAAUGCAUUAUUUCGACAUUGGGCUUAAAAACCCAAUCUAAUGAUACAUGCUGAUUUGUCAGUUUUAUCAUUUUAUUUAAAUAUCCAGUUUACUAAUAUAGAAUAUCCAAAUAUUGUUUAACAUGCGAAGUUUGUACACAUAGAACAGUUGUGAAGGGGUACAUGGGAAACUGCAAUGAAUAAGGGGUGUAGCCCUUCCACUUAUGAAAAUAGUUGGAGUGGAAGAAAUGCAUCAUGCUUUUUUUAUUCAAAAAGUCAAAAUAAUCUAGUUCAGCUAUAGUUUCUUAACAGAAUUAAUUUUAUUUAAUUUUGAAUACACUGAAUUAAUUUUGCUGUUCAUUCCUCAGGCUGUAAAGUUAUUCAUAAUAUUUAUCUUGACUCAAUCUUCUUGGUGGUUUCUUUACAUCAAUGGACAUUGUACAAUGUGUAAUAUAGUCUUGCUAAUGGGCUCACUUUCAAGUAUUUCCCCUCAAGGUUACUAUUAUUGUAGCAUUAUUUGCAGUGAUAACUCAAAUUUAAAAAAGUGUGAAAAGAGGGUGUGGUUCUCCACAAUUACCCUAAAGUUAUUUUCAAGGGUAAUUUUCUGCACUUUCUAAUUUGCUUCAAACGAUUAAGUCUGGCAUGAAAAAGUCAUUUUUUAAAUCUCUUAAAUGUUGGGAUAACUGAUCUUAGUAUCCAGCCCCUUGGAGAUUGCUGAAUCAUUACCAGAAAGAGAAACAUUGUGCAAUUGUGAACACUUGAAAAAAGUUCUAAAAAAUAUGAAGUGACUUAUAAUUUAGCUUCUGUUCUUGAUGCUGAAGAAUUACAUACAAUGGGAACUUAAUUUUUGAUCAAAUCCAAGUUCAAAUCUCAUUUUAUAAAUCUCCCUAUGAACAAUUUAGUCCAAUGAAUGCUAAAUUUGUGUCUUAGUAUUUUACAAUAAUGAAAACUGCAUGUUAUUAGUUGUAUCCCAGACUGUAUAAAGAUAUAUUUCAUGAAAAAAAAAUCUAUCUUGAUUCUAAUCGGGUUAAUGUUUCUCUCCCAUUUACAGCACUGGAAGUAUAGCAAUCUGGUCUCCAUUGAAAGUAAUGGGAAAUGGGAAAAAAUGAGUAUUGGACCUAAAAGUUACCAGGCCUCAUACGUAGAAAGUAGCUAACCAGCAGCUAACCACUACCUGUGGCUUUGAGUUGGUCAAAUGUCUUACAAAGAUGAGCACAAUUUGGAAGUAGUUGAAAUAGAAAACAAACAUCCAAAGAAACAUGUAAAACAUUUUUUACUACAUGUCAACCUUUGUUACUGAUAAGAAUAUUAUUUUAAAUAGACUGUCCUCUCAUAUAGUUUGCAUAGUAAUUAGUAGUUGGGUUUAACCCUUAACAGUUCAGCUAGUUUGUAUUUGUAAAAUAAGGUUUCAUGCUGGAAACAAAAAUAAGAACUUUUAUAGAUUUUCAUAUUUUCAUAUGGGUUAGAUCAGCUUUUGUAAAUCUCUGGCAUCGGGGAAUGCCAAGAUACUUUCAAAAUUAUAACCAACAUAUAUAGUAUUUAAAAGUAUCAACAUGUAUUUGCAAAUCUGGGUUUACCAACAUUUUCUCCAAAUGUCCCUUUUUUCUGCUGACAUAUUGUCACAUCAGAAUUGUUUUCAAGUCUAGUUUAUCAAAGAACCAAGCUAACAAACAACCUUUGAAAGGAUGUUUGCAGGGAAAGAAGUAAUAAACACAGUGUUAAAUAUUA